CAUGUGACUUCCCUAAUAGACAGAAAUCACUGAUUCGAACGAACUAGACUAUUGGCUGUCAUGCAGGUCCAGGUGAGAGGUGUACUUCUGUUCUGUCUGCUGCUGGGUCAUAUUCUGGUUGAAGCUGGAAAACCGGUUUCUUUGUGGCCGAUAGGAAGCAGGCGACCACUUGAGAAUGAUGCGGGGUUCGAGCCAAAAGAUGUGCUGAACUUAAUUUCAGUGAACCAUGCACUUGAAAAUUAUGAAGGGUUUGAACCUGAGGAAACUACAGAAAAUCAGAUGACACCUCAGAACUCAUCCACCACACCCAGAGAAACCAGCCAGUUGCCUUCAUUCUUUCUUUCAUUAAUUAAUGCAUUAUUCAACUGACUCAUGAAUUAAUCCUGCAAUACUUGUUAUUCCUUCAAAUAAAAAG